CUAAUCCACCCAAAGCCCUCCAUAGCCACAACCCACAAACAAUUAAGAAAAACCCUGUCACUACACCUACAUAGUACGUACAACCCACCAAAGAAAAUGGAGAAAACGGAGCUGGUUUUGAUUCUCGACUUCGGUUCUCAAUACACCCACCUUAUAACGAGGCGAAUUCGUUCUCUCUCCGUCUUUUCUCUAUGCAUCUCCGGCACUUCUUCUCUCGAAACCAUUGCUUCGCACAAUCCACGUGUUGUUAUUUUAUCCGGGGGGCCCCACUCAGUCCACGCCCCCGAAUCGCCCUCUUUUCCCGCAGGCUUCCUCGAGUGGGCGCAGUCCAAUGGUAUCUACGUGCUCGGUGUCUGUUACGGGCUCCAGUUGAUGGUACAGAAACUUGGGGGUGUUGUCAGGGUUGGGGAGAAACAGGAGUAUGGGAGGAUGGAUAUUGUGGUGGAGGGUCGUUUGGGAAUAUUUGGGAAUAAGAAGGUGGGUGAACAGCAGGUCGUUUGGAUGAGUCACGGAGAUGAGGCGGCUUCGUUGCCUGAUGGGUUUGAGGUUGUGGCUAGGAGCCAGCAGGGUGCUAUUGCUGCUGUUGAGAAUAGAGAGAAGAGGCUUUUUGGGCUUCAAUAUCAUCCGGAGGUGACACACUCACCUGAAGGGAUGGAAACACUACGUUAUUUUCUAUUUGAUGUCUGUGGAGUUAGUGCUGGCUGGAAGAUGGAAAAUGUAUUGGAUGAGGAAAUUAGAAUAAUUAACGAAAAGGUGGGGCCUGAAGAACAUGUAAUUUGUGCUCUAUCUGGGGGUGUAGAUUCUACUGUUGCUGCUACUCUUGUUCAUAAGGCAAUUGGGGAUAGGCUUCACUGUGUUUUUGUUGACAAUGGUUUGUUAAGGUACAAAGAGAGAGAACGUGUUAUGGAAACCUUUGAAAAGGAUCUACAUCUACUGGUAACUUGUGUCGAUGCGACAGAUCAGUUUCUUAGUAAGCUAAAAGGUGUGGUAGAUCCUGAGAUGAAAAGGAAGAUAAUUGGAAAGGAAUUUAUCUGCAUCUUUGAUGCUUUUGCCCUUGAGUUGGAACAGAAACUAGGAAAGAAACCUGCUUAUUUGGUCCAGGGAACCUUGUAUCCAGAUGUAAUUGAAUCAUGCCCGCCACCUGGUACUGGAAGAACUCAUUCUCACACAAUCAAAAGUCAUCAUAAUGUUGGGGGCCUACCUAAGGACAUGAAGUUGAAGCUCAUUGAACCACUUAAGCUUUUAUUUAAAGAUGAGGUUCGCCAACUUGGGAAAAUCUUAAAUGUUCCUGAACCUUUUUUAAAGCGUCACCCAUUCCCUGGGCCUGGCCUUGCAGUACGAGUUCUAGGUGAUGUUACUGAUGGCAAUGCAUUAGAUAUCCUCCGCCUGGUGGAUGAAAUAUUCAUUCAAUCAAUCAAGGAUGCUGGGCUUUAUGAUUCAAUUUGGCAAGCUUUUGCAGUGUUUUUGCCCGUUAGAUCAGUUGGAGUUCAAGGUGAUCAAAGAACACAUUCGCAUGUUGUUGCCCUUAGAGCUGUUACAAGCCAAGAUGGAAUGACAGCAGAUUGGUAUUAUUUUGAACACAAAUUUCUAGAUGAUGUAGCAAGAAAAAUUUGUAACAAUGUUCGGGGUGUAAACCGAGUUGUUCAAGACAUCACAUCAAAGCCUCCGUCUACAAUUGAGUGGGAAUGAUUAUAUGUUGGUGGCCUUAUUGAUUAAUGGGAAGUAGCAGACUUUAUGGUCUAUAGAAGUAAGGUGAUGCAUUUACCUUCUUUCUGCAGAUAUAACAGUAAGUUGGCAAGAAGGAAUUGGAAUCAAGCAGGAUUUCAUGAUGCUCGAUGUCUGUGCCUGUCUUGAUAUUGCCUCCUUAUCAAAAGAUGACUUUUCAUCGGAGAUCUUCUUCUCAACAAUUCUUCAUUGGAGCUCUUCUUCUCGAAUUUUUCAUCCGAGCUCUUAUUUUCAGACAAUUCUUUUUUUCUUUCUCUAGUGACUCAUUGACCUCUUUAAUGUCACUGUUUACCAUUCAAGUUGGACAGUUAACUCAAGCUUACCAUUUUGGAUUUGAUUUUGCCAAUCUAAAUUCCAUUCAAGUUCAAAUUAAUCUUUAUUUAGGUUCCCCUCCGCCUCUUAAAGAAGCCUUGAAAGUAGUUAGUCCCUUAAGAAAGUUUUCCCUGACAUCAUAUAGAGAGCCUGCUCUGGGGUAAGACCUGCAGUAUCAAUAAGUCCCCGGGCACGAAGGCCAUAAUAAUAAAAGAAUGAGUUGGGAUCUUUCCUUGUGAAAAGACUUCCAUUAGCUGGAGUAUUGAAAGGAGGACACUAGUGGGAUUGUUAAUUUAAGUACCCAUUUUCUAAGGUCAAGAUGUGAUUGAUGAGCAAACAAAAUUUGUCCCUUGUUAAUAAUAGAGUAAACACAUUAAAAUAAAUGAGAAGUAAUGAAUACGAAAGCAUAAACACAUAUUUUGUUUGUAAGUGAUGGUGACAAAUAUACAGUAGAGUUGAAGUUCAACCUUUUUGCUUAUUGUCUGAGUUGUAUAAAUCUUAUUUAGUGGAUGAAUCCAUCUGCCUUUUUGUUAUCUUUUCA